rnacentral:hammerhead_ribozyme from 1 species
CUCACAGAUGGUGAGUCCCAAAUAGGACGAAAUGCGCAUCCUGGAU